GGGGCUGUAGCUCAGUGGCAGAGCACUUGCCUAGCAUGCAUGAGGCCCUGGGUUUGAUCCUCAGCACCACUG
rnacentral:tRNA from 1 species